rnacentral:rRNA from 1 species
GUGGGGAAUCUUCCGCAAUGGGCGAAAGCCUGACGGAGCAACGCCGCGUGAGUGAUGACGGCCUUCGGGUUGUAAAGCUCUGUUAUAUGGGACGAACGGGCAUGGGGCGAAUACCCUCAUGCAGUGACGGUACCGUAAGAGAAAGCCACGGCUAACUACGUGCCAGCAGCCGCGGUAAUACGUAGGUGGCAAGCGUUGUCCGGAAUUAUUGGGCGUAAAGGGCGUGUAGGCGGCCAGACAAGUCUGGCUUAAAAGUGCGGGGCUCAACCCCGUGAUGGGAUGGAAACUGUCGGGCUAGAGUGUCGGAGAGGAAAGCGGAAUUCCUAGUGUAGCGGUGAAAUGCGUAGAUAUUAGGAGGAACACCAGUGGCGAAAGCGGCUUUCUGGACGACAACUGACGCUGAGGCGCGAAAGCCAGGGGAGCAAACGGGAUUAGAAACCCUGGUAGUCC